rnacentral:rRNA from 1 species
AUGGCGGAAUCGAACUCGUACGAGGAGCAGCGCCGGAGGCAGAUUGAGGAGAACCGCCGGAAGCUGGAGGAGCUCCGCCUGCACCAUCUCUCCGCCGCCGUCCGCGAGGCCGCCGCCAGGCCCAAGCCCAACCCCAAGCCCAGGCCGAAGCGCAAGGCCCCGGAGCCCGGCGAGCUCCGACGGUCCGGCCGCGUCGCCGGCCUCCCGGAGCAGCCCAGCUACCUCGAGGGCGCAGGGCAGCGCGACUACCGUGGAGUGUACGAGGCAUACGCUGUUUGGAAAGGACCGACCGAGGAGGAGAGAGCCGGCGCCAUCGCCAAGGCGGAGGAGCUCCAGCGCCGGAUCCACCGCAUCCGCUGCCCCGCCUUCGUCAAGCCCAUGACCCACAACUGCGCCAGCAAGGCAGCCGAGAUGAAAAUCCCCAAGCACUUCAGUGAAUAUCUCCUGGCGCACGAUGAGGGAGUCGUCUUGGUGGACGAGGCGGAUGACGAGUUCCACAUGAUGUACAAUGCCCACAGACAGGGCAGACACUACUAUUUCCACAAGGGGUGGAGAGGAUUUGCCGCCAACCAUGACCUUGCCGUUGGCGAUUGCUUGGUUUUCCACAUGACAGAGAGGGCAAAGUUCAAGGUCUACAUUUUUAGAGCAAACCCAGACUAUGAAAGCGACCAAACUUCCGAUGACUCUGAUGAUGAAGAGUAA